rnacentral:rRNA from 1 species
ACUCCUACGGGAGGCAGCAGUGGGGAAUUUUGGACAAUGGGGGCAACCCUGAUCCAGCCAUGCCGCGUGAGUGAAGAAGGCCUUCGGGUUGUAAAGCUCUUUCGGCCGGGAAGAAAUCGUGUUCUCUAACAUAGGACAUGGAUGACGGUACCGGACUAAGAAGCACCGGCUAACUACGUGCCAGCAGCCGCGGUAAUACGUAGGGUGCGAGCGUUAAUCGGAAUUACUGGGCGUAAAGCGUGCGCAUGCGGUUUUGUAAGACAGAUGUGAAAUCCCCGGGCUUAACCUGGGAACUGCGUUUGUGACUGCAAGGCUAGAGUACGGCAGAGGGGGGUGGAAUUCCUGGUGUAGCAGUGAAAUGCGUAGAUAUCAGGAGGAACACCGAUGGCGAAGGCAGCCCCCUGGGCCUGUACUGACGCUCAUGCACGAAAGCGUGGGGAGCAAACAGGAUUAGAUACCCUGGUAGUC